GCUAGGGGUCUAAUCGGAGCUGUAGCCAGCAGCCUAUGCCAAAGACAUAGCCAUGUGGGAUCUGAGCUGUGUCUGCAACCUACACCACAGCUCACGGCAACACCAGAUCCUUAACCCACUGAGCGAGGCCAAGGAUUGAACCUGCAACCUCAUAGUUCUUAGUCGGAUUCAUUAACCACUGAGCUACGAUGGGAACUCCUGAAACAGAAUAUUUUUUAAAAAGUAUCCUUUCACGAAUAUACUUAACUAAGAUGUUUCUAUUUUGCCAUUUAUUUUGUCUUUCCCCUAAGCUUUUGGUAGGCUAUUAACUGAAAAUACAGUUGCUCCCUGUACAAAGAAAUGUCAUAUUAGUUUUGUGAGUUCGAAAGAGCCCUCCUGACUCCUUCCAAUUUCCAAUCACUCGUUUCCCUACUUCAGCAUCUGUCUUAGAGGAGAAAUAAAAGGUUUAUCUAUGCUUUGCACUUCUUACUUAGGAGUAGAGCAGUUUCAUAAUUCUUCUAUUGAUAAUUGAAUAAACUAAUCAAAUUUACUUACAUCUAAUAAGCUUAAGAAAUUAUUAGAGGAGUAUGAACCUUAUCUACUUUUACCCAAAGACAUUAAAAACAUAUGGAAUACAUAUCAGCAUCAGCUACCUCUGGUGCGAUCUACGAAGCAAGGCACAUGCGUUCUGUGGUAUUCUUACCCAAAGUGUAGAAUCUUAACGUGUGCGCAAGAAAAUAUCCAAUAUACCCAAACUGAGGGGUGUGAGGCCAGCCAUCUUUCUUCCAAACCUCAGAUCAGUACUUUUCAAGACAUUCUGCUAAAGGAACGCAAGGAAGGAUAGAGAAACUGUUGGAGAUUGAAAGAAACUGCAGAGACCUGACAACUCAAUGCGUGGUGAGACCCUGGGACCAAAAAAAGAGCAGUAGUGGAAAAGGCGGUGAAAUCUGAAUAAAGGCCGUAGUUUAGUGGAGCAGUAUUGUACCAGUGUCGGUCGCCCAGUUUGGGUAACUUUCUUGUGGUUACUCAGUAGGUUAUCCUCAGGACAAACCAGGUGAAGAGCGUGUGAACACUCCUUAUGCUACUUUUGCAACUUUUCUCUAAGUCUGCAUUAAUUAAAAAGAAUACUCGUACACUUGCCCAAGUGGCCUAUAGACACUUGCUUAUCCAGAUUUCAUUUUCUCCUUAUUUUGAGUUUGUGUUUCUUUCACAGUAUGGAGAAGUGGUUUAGCGUCCUAACUUAGACCUGAAAGAAGGCUGGGAGUUCCCGUGGUGGCACAGCAGAAGUGAAGCCGACUAGUAUCCAUGAGGAUGUAAGAUGCUCCUGACAAGGAUGAGGACGGAUCUCCAGUUUCCCAGCGACUGGAACAUGGGGAUCUCUGAGCUUGUCCAAGACUGAGCCUUGCAGGUUCUCUCCGAGACGACAUGGCUCAUAAUGGACGGUUCAAGCCAAAUUAUCCAUUAUUGUUCUCAAAGUUUACAAUUAAACUAUCGAUCAAAACUGGCAGUGAUUCCUCCAGCAGCCCAAGCGCAGGGGCCGCCGAAUUGCAUCAGAACCCGAGUGCGUCCAGGCAGAAGCAGAGGAUGCAGACAGACCAGACAGCAGCCUGAUGGACACACAUACCCUCCACCCAUCACCCCGGGAUCCAGCAUCUGGUACUUUUCCUGGAGCCAGCACACGGGCCGCAACCCGGGGGUGCGUGGUCUGCGAGUGCGCGGGUGCGGUUUUAAUAGCGAGAGGUCCACGCAAUUUGCGACCCCCAUCCCUGGCUGGAAAAAUUGGAGUUUAACAGGUUCGGCUCCAUAGGGAACCAAGCUCAGCUUUUAGGCUCCUUCAGACACGGCAGAAUGCAUCUUUUCUGGGGAAUUCCACAAUAAAAUGACUGUUAUUUAUCAUUACAAACCUCUUUAUCAUUUAGUCAAUAAAAGCCCUCUCUCUCUCUCACUUUUCUUCCUGUGGCGUGCUCAGAGUCAGAAAUCGGUAUUAGUCUCUCCUGGCCUGGAGGCGGGAGAUGUCAGAGCCUGAAUCAUGGUCCACCCUGGCUUCCUGGCGAAAUUGUGUGUGAAGGCCUGAGGCCAAAAGGUGCACAUGCUCAUUAUUUGAAACACAGAUUUUUGCUCCCUUUCCUUUAGUUUUUCUUUCUUCUCUUUCUCCUUUUUACAUAUUAAGACCAAUUUUAUAUAUAUAUAUAAUAUGUAUAAAACUCAUAAGACAUCGGACAUGAGCGAGGCAGUCAGAGCUUAGGGGGGGCGCCUUGCCUUCGUGUAGUUGUUGAUCAAGAAAUUGAAAGUGGAUUGUCAUUUAAACCGAAAAGGACAGUGGAUUGCACCUCUUGAACGUUUAGAUCCCAGAGAAAUACCGGAGAGUGCGCUUUAGAAUGACUGGGUGUCGGUAACAGGUGCCUUCAAAAUGGAGAACAGACCGAAAACGGCGGAAUUCUGGUUAAGCAUUUGGCACUUGUUAUUUUUACUUACGUGGAGGAGAGGCUGAGGUCCUGCUGCAGACAGGUAGAGGGGUCCCUGCCUUUGCAUCGGCAGGCAGGUGUUUCCUUGGGAUCCUCUCACCUCCUCCAGCACGCCAGUGGUGGCCAUGUGGGAUGAGGCACCAGGGGCCCCCAAAGUCAAUACGAAUCUCAAGGUAAGACGUGCCUUUGGGAGUUCCCGCUGUGGCGCAGUGGCGUAAGAAUCCAACGGCAGCAACUCAGGUUACCGUGGAGGCUCAGGUUCCAUCCCCGGCCCCCAGCGCAGUGUGUUCAAGGAUCUGGCAUUGCUGCAGCUGUGGCACAGGUCACGGCUGUGGCUCAGAUUCCGUCUCUGGUCCUAGAACAUCCAUAUGCACGGAUGAGGCCAUUAAAAGAAAAACUCAGUGCCUUUGGACCUGACACAGACAUGGUAUGGACAUUAAGCCAACUACCCUGGGUGUGGCUGGAAUUUCAAAAAGUACCGAAUGGUGGCCUUAGAUUUCCUCUUCAUUAAACUGCGGAGGGUGUGAGCUCUCCUGAUUUUUCCGUAUGCCAAAUAAAGACAACACUCUGCAGGUGAGUUUGUUCGUACCUUCAACAUCGUAUUUAUUCCACACAUGUUGUGAGCUUCUCCUGUGCGCCCGAUACUAUGCCAGUGAUGGGAAUACAGCCACGAGCAAGUGGGGGCUUAGGGAGCGCCGUAGGAUGAGCCCCGGAAAAACCGAAUGAGCACCACUACCUAUAUCCAUGUUCAAUUAUUUCAUUUAUAAAGGGGCAAUUUACUGAUAAAGAAAGAAAAUGUCACUAUGUUUUUGUUGCUAAAAUCUUGGCAUUUCCCUUGUAUAUUUAAUUCCUGGAGGAAAUAACAUCUAGAAGCAUAGAAACCAAUGUUUCUAGAGCUGAAAAUACCUUAGAAUUAUGUUUGAUACUCCUAUUUUAUAGAGGAAGAAAUUAUGGCUUAAAAAGACAGACAAUGAAGAAACAAAUAUUUUAUGAAGAUUCAACUAGCAGUUUCUGUAUAGGAACUGAAACUUGGAUUCCUGCGUCUGUGACCAGCUUCCUUCCUCUGGAAUCUCCUCAUUCUGAUCUUUUUUGUAUGGUAUUUACUGAAAAGCCAUUCGAGGUUGGCUUGG